CCUACGGGAGGCAGCAGUGGGGAAUAUUGGACAAUGGGGGGAACCCUGAUCCAGCCAUGCCGCGUGUGUGAAGAAGGCCCUCGGGUUGUAAAGCACUUUCAGUGAGGAAGAACGCCUGGUGGUUAAUACCCAUCAGGAAAGACAUCACUCACAGAAGAAGCACCGGCUAACUCCGUGCCAGCAGCCGCGGUAAUACGGAGGGUGCGAGCGUUAAUCGGAAUUACUGGGCGUAAAGCGCGCGUAGGUGGCUUGAUAAGCCGGUUGUGAAAGCCCCGGGCUCAACCUGGGAACGGCAUCCGGAACUGUCAAGCUAGAGUGCAGGAGAGGAAGGUAGAAUUCCCGGUGUAGCGGUGAAAUGCGUAGAGAUCGGGAGGAAUACCAGUGGCGAUGGCGGCCUUCUGGACUGACACUGACACUGAGGUGCGAAAGCGUGGGUAGCAAACAGGAUUAGAUACCCCUGUAGUC
rnacentral:rRNA from 1 species